AGCAGUUUCAUAAGUGCAUAGUGACAUCACUUUUUGCUCCUUCCAUCUCAUGUCUUACUAUCACUGUAAAGCAGAAUUCACCAAGUAUUGGAUUGUUCACCUACUGAUAGGGAAUGUAUACUGCAAUUAGACUGUCUUGAGACAGGUU
rnacentral:ncRNA from 1 species